rnacentral:misc_RNA from 1 species
AAGUCGUAACAAGGUUUCCGUAGGUGAACCUGCGGAAGGAUCAUUAAUUAAACGCGAAUUGCUAAGAGGCACCCCCCCCUUCUGGGGGGGGAAGCAUGGCUCUGGCACAUCCUUUGAUUAUAUCCCAUCUGUGAAUCUUUCCACUGUUGCUUCCGUGAGCCUGUGCUUAGCUCUCUCUGAGAGUCAACGCACCUGAAAAGUCCUGGCGCACUGCCAGGAGCGCACGGCAAUGGUACCCAAACCCUUGUUUUAUGCUGAUGCAGUCUGAGUGGUUAACACACAAACAAGUUAAAACUUUCAACAACGGAUCUCUUGGUUCUC